rnacentral:rRNA from 1 species
CCUACGGGUGGCAGCAGUGAGGAAUAUUGGUCAAUGGGCGGGAGCCUGAACCAGCCAAGUCGCGUGAGGGACGACGGUCCUAUGGAUUGUAAACCUCUUUUGUCGGGGAACAAAGGCGCCUACGGGUGGGCGGCUGAGUGUACCCUACGAAAAAGCAUCGGCUAACUCCGUGCCAGCAGCCGCGGUAAUACGGAGGAUUCGAGCGUUAUCCGGAUUUAUUGGGUUUAAAGGGUGCGUAGGCGGACAGUCAAGUCAGCGGUAAAAAUGCGGUGCUCAACGCCGUACAGCCGUUGAAACUGGCAGGCUUGAGUGUGCGAGAGGUAGGCGGAAUGCGUGGUGUAGCGGUGAAAUGCUUAGAUAUCACGCAGAACUCCGAUUGCGAAGGCAGCAUACCGGGGCCCGACUGACGCUGAGGCACGAAAGCGUGGGUAUCGAACAGGAUUAGAUACCCUUGUAGUC